GUAUACAAACUAUGAACUAUUUUCUCAGAAGCUGAAGCACUGCAACUUCUGCUACUUGGGCGGAGUGAUUUGCUAGCAGCACACGAGAAGCCCUGUGCAACAGAGUUACGACACGCAAUGGAGAAGGG